UCAUCAGGUCUGGCUAAAAUGGAAUUGUAAAAUAUCAGACUUCUUUGUUUUUUUUAGACAGGAAUUUUUUUUAUUAAAAUAUUGUUGAUUUACAAUGUUGUGCCAAUUUCUGCUGUACAGCAAAGUGACUCAGAUAUAUGUGUGUGUGUGUAUAUAUAUGAAUUCCUUUCUUUUUAAAAAUUAUAGUUGAUUUACAGUGUUGGGUCACUUUCUGCUGUAUAGCAUAGGGAUCCAGUAAUACAUAUCUACACAUUUUAUCCUCAUAUUAUCCUCCAUCAUGUUCUAUCCCAAGAGAUUGGAUGUAGUUCCCUGUGCUGUACAGUAGGACCUCAUUGCUUAUGCAUUCUAAGUACAAUACUUUGCAUCCACCAACCCCAAACUCCCAGUCCAUCCCACUCCUUCUCCUCUUCUCCCUGGCAACCACAAGUCUGUUCUCUAUGUCUGUGAGUCUGCUUCUGUUCUGUAGAUAGAGUUCUAAUGGACCUUACAAAUCAUUUGGUCCAACCCCUUCCGUUUAUAGGUAAAGGACGUCAAAUGUUAGCAGUUAAACCCUGGGUGAGGACCGGACCCAGGUGCCCUGACUCCUGCUCAUCUUUCGGCCGGACUUCUCCCUUGAGGGGCCCUUCUCAGAUGGCUGGUGCAAAGACCAACAACCUCCACCUGCUCUGUCAGCUGACCAUGGAGACGGAAGGAGGCUGUCUCGCCCUGAUCCCUAGCAUAGCAGGGUCCAAAUAGGUAAAUGGUGGGAGCAAGUCCUUGGCCCUGAAUCAACACUUCAUCCUGGCUAAGGAGCAUCAUCAUGCGUGAAUCUUCUUAGAUGUCUCCUGACCUGAGCCCCACCCCUGGACGUUCUGAUUCCAGUUCAAAGAUGAAGUCAUACAUCCAUGGCAUCGAGGUACACAGUUUUGGAGAAAGGCAUUUGUCAUGUCAAAACAACAUGAAGACACAUCAUUG
rnacentral:lncRNA from 1 species